UACGGGGGGUGCAAGCGUUGUCCGGAAUCAUUGGGCGUAAAGAGUUCGUAGGUGGUAUGUUAAGUCUGGUGUUAAAUGCUGAAGCUCAACUUCAGUUCGGCACUGGAUACUGGCAAACUGGAAUGCGGUAGAGGUAAAGGGAAUUCCUGGUGUAGCGGUGAAAUGCGUAGAUAUCAGGAGGAACAUCGGUGGCGUAAGCGCUUUACUGGGCCGUAAUUGACACUGAGGAACGAAAGCCGGGGUAGCAA
rnacentral:rRNA from 1 species